rnacentral:rRNA from 1 species
UACGUAGGGGGCAAGCGUUGUCCGGAAUCAUUGGGCUAAAGCGCGUGUAGGCGGUCCGGUAAGUCCGCUGUGAAAGUCGGGGCUCAACCCUCGGAUGCCGGUGGAUACUGUCGGGCUUGAGUACGGAAGAGGCGAGUGGAAUUCCUGGUGUAGCGGUGAAAUGCGCAGAUAUCAGGAGGAACACCAAUUGCGAAGGCAGCUCAGCUGGACGUUACUGACGCUGAGUACGCGAAAGCGUGGGAGCA